AGGAAAGGUUGGGAGGGUUGUCGUGGAAGGACCCCCUCCAAGCCUCUGCAUGUGCCACGUCCCCCACUGGGGCUCACUCACCCGAGACUUUUAAACUGAGACUCCCUCAAAAGCUACUAAGACGAUCACCAGCCGGGCGCAGUGGCUCACGCCUGUAAUCGCAGCACUUUGAGAGGCUGAGGCGGAUGGAUCACUUGAGGUCGGGAGUUUGAGGCCAACCUGGACAAUAUGAUGAAACCCCGUCUCUACUAAAUAUACAAAAAUUAGCUGGGCGUGAUGGCGGGCACCUGUAAUCCCAGCUACUCAGGAGGCUGAGGCAGUAGUAUCGCUUGAACCUGG
rnacentral:lncRNA from 10 species